rnacentral:rRNA from 1 species
AACGAACGCUGGCGGCAUGCUUUACACAUGCAAGUCGAACGGUAGAGGGGCAACCCUUGAGAGUGGCGAACGGGUGAGUAAUGCAUCGGAACGUGCCCAGUAGUGGGGGAUAGCCCGGCGAAAGCCGGAUUAACACCGCAUGAGACCUGAGGGUGAAAGCGGGGGAUCGCAAGACCUCGCGCUAUUGGAGCGGCCGAUGUCAGAUUAGCUAGUUGGUGGGGUAAAGGCCUACCAAGGCGACGAUCUGUAGCUGGUCUGAGAGGACGACCAGCCAGACGGGGACUGAGACACGGCCCAGACUCCUACGGGAGGCAGCAGUGGGGAAUUUUGGACAAUGGGCGCAAGCCUGAUCCAGCCAUGCCGCGUGCGGGAAGAAGGCCUUCGGGUUGUAAACCGCUUUUGUCAGGGAAGAAAUCUUCUGGGCUAAUACCCUGGGAGGAUGACGGUACCUGAAGAAUAAGCACCGGCUAACUACGUGCCAGCCGCCGCGGUAAAAC